GGGCCCGUGGUCUAGUCAAGGUGUCUGAGUUGGGUGCUGAAGGGGGCAUCCUGGCUCCAGAGCCUCUAGAUCGGAUUAGGACGCUGGCCUGCGGAGCCGGAGAUCCGGGGUUCAAAUCCCCGCGGGCCCG
rnacentral:tRNA from 1 species